rnacentral:rRNA from 1 species
AUUGAACGCUGGCGGCAGGCUUAACACAUGCAAGUCGAGCGAGCGGCGGACGGGUGAGUAAUGUCUGGGAAACUGCCUGAUGGAGGGGGAUAACUACUGGAAACGGUAGCUAAUACCGCAUACCAUCAGAUGUACCCAGAUGGGAUUCGCUAGUAGGUGGGGUAAUGGCUCACCUAGGCGACGAUCCCUAGCUGGUCUGAGAGGAUGACCAGCCACACGGGAACUGAGACACGGUCAGGACGCUUACGAGAGGGAGCAGGGGGGAAUUGUGCACAAUGGGCGAAAGCCUGAUGCAGCCAUGCCGAGUGUGUGAAGAAGGCCAUCGGGUUGUAAAUCACUGUCAGCGAGGAGACGUUACCCGCAGAAGAAGCACCGGCUAACUCCGUGCCAGCAGCCGCGGUAUUAC